GACGAACCGAGCGAACGUUAUUCGGAAUCACUGGGCUUAAAGGGCGCGUAGGCGGGCGGUUAAGUCGGAGGUGAAAGCCUGCAGCUCAACUGCAGAAGUGCCCCCGAUACUGAUCACCUCGAGGGAGGUAGGGGCGUGCGGAACUCCCGGUGGAGCGGUGAAAUGCGUAGAUAUCGGAAGGAACACCGGUGGCGAAAGCGGCGCGCUGGACCUCUUCUGACGCUGAGGCGCGAAAGCCAGGGGAGCAAACGGG
rnacentral:rRNA from 1 species